CAGUAGCCACGGUAAUACGAACCGUGCGAACGUUAUUCGGAAUUACUGGGCUUAAAGCGCGUGUAGGCGGGCCGCCACGUCGGUUGCUGAAAUCCCCCGGCUCAACCGGGGAAGUGGCAUCGAUACGAGCGGCCUUGAGGGGGGUAGGGGGAUCUGGAACUUCCGGUGGAGCGGUGAAAUGCGUUGAGAUCGGAAGGAACACCAACGGCGAAAGCACUCUGCUGGGCCGACACUGACACUGAGAGACGAAAGCUAGGGGAGCAAAUGGGAUUAGAUACCCGGGUAGUCCCUGUCUCUUAUU
rnacentral:rRNA from 1 species